GGGGAUUUAGCUCAGUGGUAGAGCGCUUGCCUAGCAAGCGCAAGGCCCUGGGUUCGCUUCCCAGCUCCG
rfam:Rattus norvegicus chromosome 11, whole genome shotgun sequence.